rnacentral:tRNA from 1 species
GGAGAGAUGGCUGAGCUGGUCGAAGGCGCUUGACUCGAAAUCAAGAGAACGUCAUUGGCGUUCCGUGGGUUCGAAUCCCACUCUCUCCGCCA